rnacentral:rRNA from 1 species
UACGUAGGGGGCAAGCGUUGUCCGGAAUUACUGGGCGUAAAGGGCUCGUAGGCGGCCAACUAAGUCCGACGUGAAAUCCCAAGGCUUAACCUUGGAACUGCGUCGGAUACUGGAUGGCUUGAAUUCGGGAGAGGGAUGCAGAAUUCCAGGUGUAGCGGUGAAAUGCGUAGAUAUCUGGAGGAAUACCGGUGGCGAAGGCGGCAUCCUGGACCGACAUUGACGCUGAUGAGCGAAAGCUAGGGGAGCAAACGGG